GCUAGCUUCCACGGCUAACCGCCGCUAGCAUCGCGGGGACCUACCUUGAGCUCCCGUCUGCUCUUUUGGCGGUCACUUAAGUGGCCUCGCUGUCAUGGCGGACGCCGGCGGGGUUCUCCUGAGUACGGCCGCCGCCGCCACCGCCGCCGCCGCCGGAGCUGGCCGCGUCGCAGGGUAACAGCCCAGCUGACACGGGGUGACAGCGCCAGGAGCGAGCGGCUGAACGCAUGAAGCAGAAGGAAAAAGGAGCGGCUAGUUUAGUCGGAGAAUGUCCGGCCAAGCUGGAGCCGACUGGGCUUCUGCAGCAGGACCAUGAUCCACAACACAGCAGCAAGUCCACCUCUGGAUGACUGAGGAAAAACCGAAUGAAGACUUUGGAGCGGCCUAGUCCAAGUCCUGACCGGACCCUAUGGAGACGGCCUCCUACGUGGCUGAAUGACAACAUUUCCUCCACAGCGCUGGAAGAGACCACGUGACCAGGUGACCACGAACGCUGCAUUUGUCAUAAAUGAAAUGUAUUAUUAUUAUUAUUAUUAUUUUUAGGUCGUUGCCGCUGAGGGUGGCCCAAGCAGCUAUUGGCUUUAGGGGUCAUCUCUUUGUCUGUUCCCUUAAUAAUACGUUUCAUUGGAAAAACGGCAUUUUGUGUUCAGUUGUGUUGCCAUCGACUAAUAUUUCAAUGUUUGCUGAUCCCAAACAUUUACGUGUGACAAACAUGCCAAAACUUCCACGCUAGUGUGGAUUUCAUGCAAUUGUCUAAACGGAAUCUCCAAGCUGAUGACGCUCUCAUUUACGAGCGCAGGUACCGCCAUCUAGCGGCGUGUGCAUGUAAGUGCUCUCCAUGUGUUCUUUUGAUGAACUUCCGCAAUAAAUGGGGCUUCUUGUC